GGAUGGUGUUGUUGUAUACAGGAGACUUUAUUGAAAUGCCGGUAGUAGACAGAGCUGACUUCCCGGGGCAUCAUGUAAACUUGCUGUUUGCAGGAGCACUAAUUGCAACUAUAUCCUGGACUGGUCUGAUGUUGGCAUGGACCUUCUAUGAAAUGCCCGACCAAGCAUCAUCAACAGUCAACAGUAUACUAGUCAAUAUUAAACAGUCACUGUGACUUGUUACAUAUAAUUAUAGCAUUCUAUAAUCCUAAUUUAAUUGUUUAUAAUUAUGCCUCCCUAUAUAGAGCGUUAUUUUAGAGGCAAAUCGGCUAAAUAUACAGUUGUUUUUCAGUUAAUUCUCCCUUUAUACUUUUUUGUAUACUGUCACAGUGAUUUGAUUUUCUGGUGAAAUGAACAUCA